rnacentral:tRNA from 1 species
GGACGCUUAGCUCAGUUGGGAGAGCACCUGGGUCACAACCAGGGGGUCGUAGGUUCGAGCCCUAUAGUGUCCACCA